UACGUAGGGCGCAAGCGUUGUCCGGAAUUAUUGGGCGUAAAGAGCUCGUAGGCGGUUUGUCGCGUCUGCUGUGAAAACUCGAGGCUCAACUCCGGUUCUGCAGUGGGUACGGGCAGACUAGAGUGCAGUAGGGGAGACUGGAAUUCCUGGUGUAGCGGUGAAAUGCGCAGAUAUCAGGAGGAACACCGAUGGCGAAGGCAGGUCUCUGGGCUGUAACUGACGCUGAGGAGCGAAAGCAUGGGGAGCGAACAGG
rnacentral:rRNA from 1 species